rnacentral:lncRNA from 1 species
CCCCCCCCCCCCCCCCCCCCCCCCCCCCCCCCCCCCCCCCCCCCCCCCCCCCCCCCCCCCCCCCCCCCCCCCCCCCCCCCUGGGAACUCUAAAAAGGGAUUUGGGAACCCUCAAAAGGGAUUUGGGAUCAUAAAAUGAGAUUUGGGAACCCUAAAAAGGGAUUUGGGAUCCUGAUCCUAAAAAGGAAACAUGGGAACUCUAAAAAGGGAUUUGGGAACCCUCAAAAGGGAUUUGAGAUCCUAAAAAGCAAAUUUGGGAUCCUAAAAUGGGAUUUGGGAUCCUAAAAAGGAAACAUGGGAACUCUAAAAAGGGAUUUGGGAACCCUCAAAAGGGAUUUGAGAUCCUAAAAAGCAAAUUUGGGAUCCUAAAAUGGGAUUUGGGAUCCUAAAAAGGAAACAUGGGAACUCUAAAAAGGGAUUUGGGAACCCUCAAAAGGGAUUUGGGAUCAUAAAAUGAGAUUUGGGAACCCUAAAAAGGGAUUUGGGAUCCUGAAAUGGGAUUUGGGAAGCCUAAAAAGGGAUUUUAGAUCCCAAAAAGGAAAUUUGGGAUCCUGAAAUGGGAUUUGGGAUCCUAAAAAUGGGAUUUGGGAUCCUAAAAAAGAAAUUUAGGAACCCUAAAAACGGAUUUUGGAUCUUAAAAUGGGAUUUGGGAUCCUAAAAAGGAAAUUUGGGAUCCUAAAAUGGGAUUUGGGAUCCUAAAAAGGAAACUUGGAAACUCUAAAAAGGGAUUUGGGAACCCUCAAAAGGGAUAUGGGAUCCUAAAAUGGGAUUUGGGAAGCCUAAAAAGGGAUUUCAGAUCCCAAAAAGGAAAUUUGGGAUCCUAAAAAGGGAUUUGGGAUCCCUCAAAAGAGAGCUGGGAUUCUAAAAUCGGAUUUGGGAUCCCUCAAAAGGGAUUUGAGAUCCUAAAAUGGAUUUGGGAUCCUAAAAGGGGAUUUGGGAUCCUAAAUGGGAUUUGGGAUCCCUCAGAAGGGAUUUGGGAUCCUAAAAUGGGAUUUGGGAUCUGAAAUUCUCCCACAAAACCUUUUCCCUGCCAUUGCCAGGGAUGAAUCCCACAAAACCCAAACCCCAAAACCCUCUGAGCUGCCAGAAUUGCACCUUGCUGGGAUGGGAACAGCAGGAUUUGGGAUUUGGGAUAAAAGGGGGAGGAAGAAAUGAAAUGAAAAAGAAAAAGCCAUAAAAGCUCAGCAUUUUGGGAAUCCUGAAUUCCAGGAUUUUCCAGAUUAUUGGGGGAAAAAUGGGGGAAAUCUGGAGUUGGGAGGAGAAUUCAAAGCUCCAGUGGGGCCCAAGGAAUUCCAGGCUGGAAUCCCAAAAAAUGGGGUGAAAAUGGGAUGAAAAUGGGAUAAAAAGGGAUUUAAAUGGGAUGAAAAUGGGAUAAAAUGGGAUAUAAAUAGGUUAAAAUGGGAUUUAAAUAGGUUAAAAUGGGAUAAAAUGGGAUAAAAUGGGAUAAAAUGGGAUAAAAUGAAAAUGGGAUAAAAUAGGAUGAAAAUGGGAUGAAAAUGAAAUUUAAAUGGGGUUAAAAUGGGAUAAAAAUGGGAUUUAAAUAGGUUAAAAUGGGAUAAAAUGGGAUGGAAUGGGAUAAAAUAGGAUGAAAAUGGGAUGAAAAUGAAAUUUAAAUGGGGUUAAAAUGGGAUAAAAAUGGGAUUUAAAUAGGUUAAAAUGGGAUAAAAUGGGAUGGAAUGGGAUGGAAUGGGAUAAAAUAGGAAAAAAAUGGGAUGAAAAUGAAAUUUAAAUGGGGUUAAAAUGGGAUAAAAAUGGGAUUUAAAUAGGUUAAAAUGGGAUAAAAUGGGAUGGAAUGGGAUAAAAUAGGAUGAAAAUGGGAUGAAAAUGAAAUUUAAAUGGGGUUAAAAUGGGAUAAAAAUGGGAUUUAAAUAGGUUAAAAUGGGAUGAAAUGGGAUGAAAAUGGGAUAAAAAUGGGAUUUAAAUAGAUUAAAAUGGGAUAAAAUGGGAUAAAAAUGGGAUAGAAUGGGAUAAAAUAGGAUUAAAAUGGGAUGAAAAUGAAAUUUAAAUGGGAUUAAAAUGGGAUAAAAAGGGAUUUAAAUGGGAUGAAAAUGGGAUAAAACCCCCCCCCCCCCCCCCCCCCCCCCCCCCCCCCCCCCCCCCCCCCCCCCCCCCCCCCCC